GUGAGCAGGACCCGCCUCGCUCCCUUUCCCAGCCCCCAGCUCUGUGCCCCCAUCCAGCAGGUUGCCUGCCAGUCAAAAUAUGAUGAGCCAGGGAAUGGGGACUCCCAGCCUCCCACAUGCCACACAUCCAGGGACAGGUCAUUUCCCCUCUCAGGCCUCUGACAAUCACACGGAUGUGGGUUUCCGCUCCAGGCCUUGCUCUCACUUGCUGUGUGACCGUGCCUGGGUUCCAAGCUCUCAAUGCCUCAGGGUCUCACUAAGUCCUUCAAGCUGGGCUCAAACUUACAAUCACCCCCAAGUGCUGGGAUUUCAGGCAUGUUCCAGAAUGCCCAUCUUCAUCCAGGGGACUUUUGAAAGCUGUGCUGCAGGCCACCCUGGCCAAUUAAAUGAAACAACCUAGAGAUAGACACAAAUGUCUUCAUGAUUCCAGCGUGCACCUAGGUGAGACCUGCUUGCCUGUACCUUCUCACAUGCUCCUUUCCACUGGCAGACAUCUUUGCUACAGCCGAGUGAGGGGUGCAGCUGGCAUCUAGUGGGCAGUGGCUGAGGAAGCUGCUAGACAUCCUGUACAGCACAGGACACCCUUGCACCACCCUUGCACCUUGACUUGACCCCAAAUGUCAGUAGGUUCCAAGGCUCAGAAACUUUGCUCUCAAGGUAAGUUGCUGGUAGGAUCAUUUCCUAUAUGGGUUAGGAAACAGAUUCAGAGGGGUUACUUUCCCAAGAUCCCUUACUGCAGGGAUGGUGAACCUUGUAGAGACCGAUUACCCAAAUUGCAACUCAAACCCCCUUAUUUAUUGCAAAGUGCCAACACUGCACCUAACCUGAAUACUGAGGUUUUAGUUUAGAAAAAACAACUCAUACAUUAUCUUAAAAGAAAAACAAAUGCAUGCCAUAGGUUUGCCACCACUGCCUUACUGGUACCAAAACUUAGCCCAUGCAUCUUCAGUCAUUCUGCUUGUCUCCCGGGUCGGAAAUAGGGCCUUGGCUCAGUAACAUUUUUAUAGCUAAGAUUCACCUGUCAUCUACUCAGUGACUAAUGUGGUGUUCUUAUUCUCACAACUACUUGCCAACCUCCUAUUUGACAGAGGAGGAAACUGAGGCACAGAGAUCACAGAGCCAGAACCGAAGCUGUGCCUCUGCAAGGAAGAGGGAAAUGGAAAGGAAGCUGGACCUAAAGGAGAUAAGCCUGUGCUAAAGCUCAGGAGCACAAAAGAGGCUGAAAGAUAAGUCCCGGGCAGGUGAGCAAUAAGGACCCAGUGGGGGCAAGUUCUAAUUGGAACAAGCUAAGAGCCUGCUAGGUUUUACCUGUACCAGACACUUCACAGCUGGCCUGUGUCUAGGCUAUGCCUUACAUUCUUCCUACUUAGGGGAGGACUCAGUCUAGAUCUGAGAAUUCUAGAGGUCCUUGCCCCCUAAAAUGUUUCUUGCUGGUGCCUGAAAUUCUUUUUUUUUAAAGCCAUCCUCCUGCCUCAGCCUCCUCAAGUGCUGGGAUUAUAGGUGAGUGCCAUCACUCCCAGCCUGAAAUUCCUUUAGAGAAAAAUUUCUCACCUUGGCACCUAUUGACAUGCGGGGUCAAAUCAUCCUCUGGUGCAGGGGUGUCCUGUGCUGUAUAGGAUGUCUAACAGCAACCUUAGCCAUUGUCCACUAGAUACCAGAUGUACCCUUCACUUGGCUGUAGCAACCAAAGAUGUCUCCGGACUGCCACAUUGCCACAUUGCCCUGGGGAACAGAGUCCCCUCCAGUGGGAACCAUGCAGUAAAAAUUACUCAGGUUUCAACUUCUGUGGAAAUUUGGACCACUAGAGAGGGAAAGGCGGAACUGAGGUGAGCAGCCACCACGGAUUGCAGAUGCCCACACGGAGAAGGUCACAGGGAACGUCAUCUCAUGAGGCCAGAAACAAACGGUUGUUCUAAAGCCAGUUCAUGGAUGAAAACUGUGCCUGCCUACAACAGCCUUUGAAACCUGCUCGCCACUACCUCGGGAUAUGUGACUAUUCCCUUGGCCAAAUACUACAACAGUGUGGGUGUGUUUUCUUCAAAUGUGGCAGUCAGGAUGUCCAUAGUGAGCCAGCUACAAGUGUCUUCAUGCUAAAGUUGGUGUCUCUGUGACGUGUGAUCAAAAUUCAGUGAAUGCUGUUGCAAAGCACCACCUGACAAAAAAGGCAGGCUUGUAAAAACUUCACAGUGCGUCCCCAUCCACCUUAUUCACCCAUCUGGCACCAUGCAACCGCUGACUCCUUCUCCAAAGUCAAAAUGACCCUAAAAGAUAAACCUCCUGGAUGGAUUCAGGACAUCGAGGCAGCCACGACAGCACAACUAAAGACACUCACAAAAGCAGACUUCCAGACCUGCUUCAGAAGUGGCAAGAAUGAUGGGCUAAGUGUGCUUGAAGGGAGGGGAAUGAUUUUGAGGGGGAUGAACGGCAGGGUGUCUUUUACUGCAGUGAUUUUAUAAAGGUUUAAACACCUGCUGUAUUUUUUCAGUCACACCUCUGCAUGGAGGCAGGGGUAACCAUUACACUGGUGAGUCUCAGACUUCAGUCCUGGGCAUCAUGGUAUCAUAUUUCUCAGUGUGUGCAAAGCACACACUGUCCCGCAAUCAUUUCCUAUUUUUCUUCAAAUCAACCCUCACUCCAGCCUUUAACAAAUGACUUUGACUGGGGAGGGAGGUGCUGGGGAUGGAACCCAGGGCCUCAAGCGUGCUAGGCACAUGCGCCACCACGGAGCCUCAUCCCCAUUCUGUGUUAUAAAUAAAAUAUUUAUAUCACUGC